ACGUUAGAAUUGGUAAGGGAUUUC
rnacentral:piRNA from 1 species